rnacentral:rRNA from 1 species
UAAAGAGUUCUAUAACUCCCAAACCCAUGUGAACAUACCUAACGUUGCCUCGGCAGGUCGCACCUACCUUGUAGCACCCUACCCUGUAGGGCCUACCCGGGAGGUGCGGGUAAGCCUGCCGGCGGCCCACCAAACUCUGUUUGAUAUUGAAUUCUGAACCUAUAACUAAAUAAGUUAAAACUUUCAACAACGGAUCUCUUGGUUCUGGCAUCGAUGAAGAACGCAGCGAAAUGCGAUAAGUAAUGUGAAUUGCAGAAUUCAGUGAAUCAUCGAAUCUUUGAACGCAUAUUGCGCCCAUUAGUAUUCUAGUGGGCAGGACCGUUCGAGCGUCAUUUCAACCCUUAAGCCUUCGUUGCUUAGUGUUGGGAGCCUACGGCAACGUAGCUCCUCAAAGUUAGUGGCGGAGUUGGUUCACACUCUAGACGUAGUAAUUUUUUAUCUCGCCUAUUAGUUGGACUAAUCCCCUGCCGUAAAACCCCCAAUUUAUCAAGGUUGACCUCGAAUCGGUUCAGACAAACUCGCUAA